rnacentral:misc_RNA from 2 species
AACGCACAUUGCGCCCUUUGGUAUUCCGAAGGGCAUGCCUGUUCGAGCGUCAUUAUCACCUCUCAAGCCCUGGCUUGUUGUUGGACUUUUGGUCCCGCCCUCGUGGCGCGACCGGUUCCAAAGACAAUGACGGCGUCCGUGGGACCCUCGGUACAAUGAGCUUUCACCAGCACGUAUCAGAGUUGAAAGGUUCUCGGGCCCGGUCUCCUUUUAUUUUAACAAGGUUGACCUCGGAUCAGGUAGGAAUACCCGCUGAACUUAA